AGAUGAGCACCCACUUCUAGGAGAAAGACAUUUUGCUCAGCUGAGCAGGAGUGCCUGGUACUUGUGUGUGUGUCUGAUUGUAUCCAGGAGAUCACGUAUCAUCACAGAUCCGAUAGCAGCAGGCUGGAGGGGGAGGGAGGAGGGAGGAGGGAGGGAGGGAGGCAAAUGUGAGGAUUUACUCUGUCAGAAUAUUAUGAUGCUCUACAGGGUGAGGAAAGCGAUGAUUGGGCACGCGGAGGAUCUUUCAAAGGACUCCCUUGCUUUUGUGAGCUAAAAAAAGCCCAGAGCCUGUUUGAAUAUUUGCUGUAUAUUCCAGCAGAGGGGAAAUCACACCUGAUCCUGUGACUCUGACAGCAACAGCUUCUGCUUAAAAAGCCAUUCAGGUAAAAAUCAGGAUGAGAUCAUUUACUGUGUUUGCCAGCAGGAGCCUCCAUCAAGGUGACAACACCUAUGGAAAUGCAAGAGAGGGGCAGGCAGUGCCCUGGAUACCUGCUAAGGACAGUUUUCCCUUUUAUUUGUAAAACAGGGAGCAGAAGGGGGGAGCCCAAAGACAAGGAACUUUGCUUUGUGCUGUUUCUGGUUUCCUCAGCUCUUCCCAUUAUCUAAAUAUGGCUCAGUAUCUUUUAACCAAGAAGAAUAACCUACAGCAGCAACAAGGAAUACAGUCUCCAAAGUGGGGGGCUUUUCCCUCCUGUUUUAAUGACCCAAAACCUACUUUCUACUACAGCACCAGUAAUGUCUGUUGGGCCAGAUGAAAGUGCAAAACGUGGACCAAGUCUUUUGCUGGUUAAAAUUGAACUGGUUCUCUUCAUUUUCAGGGGGUUGAAAUAUUUGGUAGUCGAUCUGCCUGUGUCCUGUGGGACAGCAGAAAUGAUUUUGCAACAAGGCAUGUGUUCUCCUGACAUCCCCAAAACCACAUCCACAAAGGAUACUAUCAGGAGAAACAUUGGAAAUCAAGCAGGGACAAGGCAGAGUGGUCCUGGAUCCUUGGUGUGCUCACAGUACUGUACCAUGUCCAGCAGCAAGACAUGAAGACAAAAAACAUCUGCUCCUGACAGAGUUUCCAUCUUUCCAUUGGAAACUUCCCUUAAAAGUGCUCAGAACUUCCCCAAAUAAUUUGAGUAAAGGGGUUAAAGAGGAAGAGCAAUCACCAUGCAGACACACGUGAAGAAUUCAGGUCUCGGCCAGAAAAUCCUUCCUUACAGGAGGCUCAGACUGAAAACUGCCCAUCCUCAUGCACAUUUUUGAGCAGCUAAUUGAGCAUAUUUUUCCAUGAAGGAAGUUAUUAUUCCAGGCUUAUGCUUCACUGAGUUAAGGCACAUGUCAUGGCCAGGCUGCAGCACCAGGUGCACAGAAUGAUUGGCAAAGGCUUUUCCUGCUCAUUAUCAAACAUCACUGCCCAGCCUGAGUGCCCAACAGUGUCUUAAUCAAUUCAGAAAAACUGAAACCAAGUGCUAAACAGCAUCUCUGAACAAAAAAAUACCAUUUUUAUCCAGGUCUUUACCAUUUUGGCUUUAGUGUUGAUUUUAAUUUUUUUUCUCUUGAGAAAAAUUUUCCCUGCUCUGACUGGGCAGCUUUAUGAAUGCAACUAAGGGGCACCUCUGGGCAGUUUUCCCUCUGAUUUUACAUCUAAAAAAGACUGAAAAAGCAAAAGUCUUAAAAUUUGUGAGAUGAUAGAAGCUGUGAGCUGAAGCUUUGUGUUGCACCUGCCCAGUCCUUCUCUGCUGCUGCUGCUGUGCCACUGGGAGGGAAAUUGCAUCAAAAUUAAUCAACUUGGCAGCAGCAAUGAUUGAAUUUGAAAACUUCAGUUCAACAGUCAAAUGAGACCAGCCUAAACCCAUCAAAAGUCUUCCAUCAUCUGCCCCAGACAGCUUAGACAGACAUGUGGUCACUCCAUUAUUGC
ensembl:lncRNA